UUGUCCACGUUAAUAAAAUGGUCAACACAUACGCACUGCACUGUACUGAUAACUGAAAUUCGCACGGUGGCAUACCAAGGACUUUAAUGUCCUGGACCCAUUGAGCGGGCCCCUGGCGAAUAGGUUGCAACCCUAACUGUAACAUGAAAUCGCAUUGUGGCAUACCAAGGACGGUGAAGUCCUGGACCCAUUGAGCGGGCCCCUAGCGAUAUAACUGAAUUUACAACACAUAUGGCAAACACAUAAUAUUAAAAUGGACAAAGAUUAACCACAGCAUG
rnacentral:lncRNA from 1 species